UGGAAACUAAGCAUAUCAAUAAGCGGAGGAAAAGAAACUAACAAGGAUUCCCCUAGUAACGGCGAGUGAAGAGGGAUCAGCCCAAAUUUGUAAUCUGGCUCUUUCAGAGUCUGAGUUGUAAUUUUGAGAACUGUUUUCUGCUCUGGACCAUGUACAAGUCUGUUGAAAUGCAGCAUCAUUGAGGGUGAGAAUCCUGUUCAUGAUAUGGACUACCAGGGCUUUAUGAUACAGUCUCUAAGAGUCGAGUUGUUUGGGAAUGCAGCUCAAAGUGGGUGGUAAAUUCCAUCUAAGGCUAAAUAUUGGUGAGAGACCGAUAGCAAACAAGUACCGUGAGGGAAAGAUGAAAAGAACUUUGGAAAGAGAGUUAACAGUACGUGAAAUUGUUAAAAGGGAAACAGUUGAAGUUAGACUUGUUGUUGUUGGUUCAGCUCUUUAAGGGUGUUUUCUGAUGAUUAACAAACCAACAUCAAUCUCUGGGUGUUGGAUAAGGGUCAUUGAAAUGUAGCAGUUUUGGCUGUGUUAUAGUCUUUGACUUGGAUACAGUGCCUGGGAUUGAGGAUUGCAGUAAGCCCCUAUUUGGGGUGGGACAAUUUAUUGUUCUUCUUACUGAGGAUGUUGGUGCAAUAGCUUUAAUUGACCCGUCUUGAAACACGGACCAAGGAGA
rnacentral:rRNA from 1 species